GCUUGUCUCAAAGAUUAAGCCAUGCAUGUCUCAGUAUAAGCUUGUGCAUAGUGAAACUGCGAACGGCUCAUUAUAACAGUUAUAAUUUGUUUGGUGUUCAAGUUUACAUGGGUAACUGUGGCAAUUCUAGAGCUAAUACAUGCAUCAUCCCCCAUCUCGGGGUGUAUUUAUUAGAUGGAAACCAAUGCGGGGCAACCCGGAAUAUGGUGAAUCAUAAUAACUGUCGUAUCGAGCAAUCGAAGCGCCAUACAAGUUUCUGCCCUAUCAGCUUUGGAUGGUAGGGUAUUGGCCUACCAUGGCUUUAACGGGUAACGGAGAAUUAGGGUUCGAUUCCGGAGAGGGAGCCUGAGAAACGGCUACCACAUCCAAGGAAGGCAGCAGG
rnacentral:rRNA from 1 species